CGACGUGAGUAACCUGCCUUUCAGAGGGGGAUAACAUCCUGAAAAGGAUGCUAAUACCGCAUGAUAUCCAAGCAUCGCAUGGUGAGUGGAUCAAAGGAGCAAUCCGCUGAAAGAUGGACUCGCGUCCGAUUAGCCAGUUGGCGGGGUAACGGCCCACCAAAGCGACGAUCGGUAGCCGGACUGAGAGGUUGAACGGCCACAUUGGGACUGAGACACGGCCCAGACUCCUACGGAAGGCAGCAG
rnacentral:rRNA from 1 species